rnacentral:rRNA from 1 species
AUUACGGGGCGCAGCAGGCGCGAAACCUCCGCAAUGUGAGAAAUCGCGACGGGGGGAUCCCAAGUGCCAUUCUUAACGGGAUGGCUUUUCUUUAGUGUAAAAAGCUUUUGGAAUAAGAGCUGGGCAAGACCGGUGCCAGCCGCCGCGGUAAUUCAAU